CCUACGGGAGGCAGCAGUGAGGAAUAUUGGUCAAUGGACGGAAGUCUGAACCAGCCAAGUCGCGUGCAGGAAGACGGCCCUAUGAGUUGUAAACUGCUUUUGUACAAGGGUAAACAUGAAUCCGUGUAUUCAACUGAAAGUACCCUACGAAUAAAGAUCCGCUAACUCCGUGCCAGCAGCCGCGGUAAUACGGAGGAUUCAAGCGUUAUCCGGAUUUAUUGGGUUUAAAGGGUGCGUAGGCGGAUGGAUAAGUUAGAGGUGAAAUGUCCGAGCUUAACUCCGGAACUGCCUCUAAUACUGUUCGGCUAGAGAGUAGAUGCGGUAGGCGGAAUGUAUGGUGUAGCGGUGAAAUGCUUAGAGAUCAUACAGAACACCGAUUGCGAAGGCAGCUUACCAAGCUACAUCUGACGUUGAGGCACGAAAGCGUGGGGAGCAAACAGGAUUAGAUACCCUAGUAGUC
rnacentral:rRNA from 1 species